GGAAUCGUAGCUCAGUUGGUUUAGAGCAUCGCCUUGACAGGGCGGGGGUCGUAGGUUCGAGUCCUAUCGGUUCCA
rnacentral:tRNA from 1 species